rnacentral:ncRNA from 1 species
GGAAUGAUUGGGCGUAAAGCGUAUGUAGGUGUCUUUUUAUGUCUACCGUCAAAUCCCAGCGCCCAACCCUAAAUAGGCAGUGGAAACUACCAAGCUAGAGUAUGGUAGGGGCAGAGGGGAUUUUUGGUUGAGCAGUGAAAUGCGUAGAGAUCAGAAAGAACACCAACGGCGAAAGCACUCUGCUGGGCCGAAUUUUUUCAUUGUCUUUAGUACGAUCUGCC